CAAAAUACUGUCACGGGGCUCCUUCAUUAUCCGUUGAAGGUCCUCACCCUAGCCGCGGUUAGUUAUCGACGGAUCACUGGGCGCUGUGGUCUAGGAUGCUCGCGCAGUAACAAUAAAAAUUAACAUAAGUUCCGGGGCCUAGAAAAUAAGCGUUCCGCGGGUGGGGAUAAUUCCACACCAGGGGCAAGUGAAGUUGGCGCACCGAAAAGCGACAUUGUGAAGCCGGAGCCCGAGACACCAGCACGAGAUCUUGGAAAACAGAUUUAAUUUACCGUUGACUAAAUCCCGAGCUACGACGCAAUUAACCAGAUCCGAGAUACCUGAUAGAGCUGUGUAAUUUGGCGGACAAAAUUUGCCUAGACCGAAGGCCACA